rnacentral:rRNA from 1 species
GACAGAGGUGCCGAGCGUUAGGCGGAAUCACUGGGCUUAAAGCGUGUGUAGGCGGAUCGUUAAGUACCUUGUGAAAUCCCACGGCUUAACCGUGGAACUGCUGGGUAUACUGGCGAUCUUGAGCCACCUAGGGGCAACCGGAACAAAUGGUGGGGCGGCGAAAUGCGUAGAUAUCAUUUGGAACGCCAAUGGUGAAAACAGGUUGCUGGGGGUGUGCUGACGCUGAGACACGAAAGCCAGGGGAGCGAACGGG